rnacentral:rRNA from 1 species
CCUACGGGAGGCAGCAGUGAGGAAUAUUGGUCAAUGGGCGGGAGCCUGAACCAGCCAAGCCGCGUGAGGGAAGAAGGUACAGCGUAUCGUAAACCUCUUUUGUCAGGGCACAAAGGCGGGGACUAGUCCCCGGAUGAGGGUACCUGAAGAAAAAGCAUCGGCUAACUCCGUGCCAGCAGCCGCGGUAAUACGGAGGAUGCGAGCGUUAUCCGGAUUUAUUGGGUUUAAAGGGUGCGCAGGGGGCCUGUUAAGUCAGCGGGAAAAGCCCGGGGCUCAACCCCGGCGAGCCGUUGAAACUGGCGGGCUGGAGUGGGAGAGAGGUACGCGGAAUGCGCGGUGUAGCGGUGAAAUGCUUAGAUAUCGCGCAGAACCCCGAUUGCGAAGGCAGCGUACCGGCUCCACACUGACGCUGAGGCACGAAAGCGUGGGUAUCGAACAGGAUUAGAUACCCGUGUAGUC